CCCGCUGAACUUAAGCAUAUCAGUAAGCAGAGGAAAAGAAACUAACAAGGAUUCCCGUAGUAACGGCGAGUGAACUGGGAUCAGUCCAGCGCUGAAUCGCUUCGCCCGUUGGGUGUUGCGAACUGUAGCGUAUAGGUGUUGCCGCUCUGUUGGUUGCUGCGAUUUAAGUCUCCCAUGACUGGGGUUCCAUAGAGGGUGAAAGACCCGUUAAAUUGCGUGCGAUCGGCAGUUGGUGAUGCCUUGGAGUCGGGUUGUUUGGGAACGCAGCCCAAAGGGGGUGGUAAACUCCAUCUAAGACUAAAUAUGACUACGAAACCGAUAGCAAACAAGUACCGUGAGGGAAAGUUGAAAAGCACUUUGAAGAGAGAGUUAAAGAGGACGUGAAACCGAUAAGGGGGAAACGGAUAGAGCCAACGGACUAGCUUGCAUUCAUCGGCGGUUCUGUGCCAGCAUACGACUCCAUACACGCCUCGUAUGGUUCGUGUGUAGCCUCGGCUAAGGACUGUUGUGCAUUUGCAAGUGGAGUGCGCUGAGACUUGUGGCUGCGUCGGCUGGAUCGCUGUGCUGAGGCCACACACUUCGGUGUGUAUGGUACCCGCUCGGUGGGAAGGCUGUUCGUGCUGCAUGUGCAGAGUGUGGUCGAGGUUGGUGGGUGCCGAGCUGUCUGCUGGUAACGGUCGCAUGCGACACGUGCUAGUUUGUUGGCUUGGUGCUUGCUGGUCUUUCACGCUUGCUCUCGGCGUAAAUGUUGGUCAUCUAUCCGACCCGUCUUGAAACACGG
rnacentral:rRNA from 1 species